rnacentral:rRNA from 1 species
AACGAACGCUGGCGGCGUGCCUAACACAUGCAAGUCGAACGGGAAAACCCGCAAGGGUGAGUACAGUGGCGCACGGGUGCGUAACACGUGGGUAAUCUGCCCAGAAGCCCGGAAUAACUCCCCGAAAGGGGUGCUAAUGCCGGAUGAGACCACGGGGACUUCGGUUCCUGGGGGAAAAGGUGGCCUCUGUAUACAAGCUAUCACUUCUGGAUGAGCUCGCGGCCCAUCAGCUAGUUGGCGGGGUAAUGGCCCACCAAGGCUACGACGGGUAGCUGGUCUGAGAGGACGAUCAGACACACUGGAACUGAGACACGGUCCAGACUCCUACGGGAGGCAGCAGUGGGGAAUCUUGCGCAAUGGGCGAAAGCCUGACGCAGCAACGCCGCGUGUGUGAUGAAGGUCUUCGGAUCGUAAAGCACUGUCGGGAGGGACGAAUAAGGGCCGGGUGAACAAUCCGGUUCGACGACGGUACCUCCAGAGGAAGCACCGGCUAACUCUGUGCCAGCAGCCGCGGUAACAC